rnacentral:tRNA from 1 species
GCCGUCGUGGCCAAGUCUGGUGAAGGCACCCGGCUGAUAACCGAGAGAUGCGCUGGUUCAAUUCCAGCCGACGGCA